rnacentral:rRNA from 3 species
UGGGGAAUAUUGCACAAUGGGCGAAAGCCUGAUGCAGCAACGCCGCGUGAGUGAUGAAGGCUUUCGAGUCGUAAAGCUCUUUGAUCAGGGAUGAUAAUGACAGUACCUGAAAAACAAGCCACGGCUAACUACGUGCCAGCAGCCGCGGUAAUACGUAGGUGGCGAGCGUUGUCCGGAAUUACUGGGCGUAAAGGAUGCGUAGGUGGAUAAUUAAGUGGGAUGUGAAAUCCCCGGGCUCAACCCGGGAACUGCAUACCAAACUGGUUAUCUAGAGUGCAGGAGAGGAAAGUAGAAUUCAUAGUGUAGCGGUGAAAUGCGUAGAUAUUAUGAGGAAUACCAGUGGCGAAGGCGACUUUCUGGACUGUAACUGACACUGAGGCAUGAAAGCGUGGGUAGCAAACAGG